AGCCCCUCCGAGGAAAGCCGAGAUUGUACGUUUCCUUGCCGGCUGAGCCGCGGCUCGUCCCCCGGAGCGACACAAAGAAGAAGUGGCCUUGCAUCCUGCUCCGCCUCCCGAGCCGGGUCCUUGGUCCCCGGAAGCCCUGGGCUGCCCCACUGGAGUUACCUUCUGUGCGUUCUCUCCUAAACCUACACGUUAUUCACGACUUUGUUCAUGACUAUGGAAAACAAAACAAAAACAAAAACCAAACCAAAGUUCCCUCGCCUGGCGAUGGUGCAAGCCUGUCUACCUGCUGGAGGAUGGGAAGACCAAACCAAGAAUUAAACAACCACUCUAGUCUGAACUCAGCACCACUGCAGAGAAUCUGCUGGUCCCUAUACAACCAUCCUGUGGGAAGUAGAUUACCCACUUACCGAGCUCCACCCACCGUGUAAGGUGCUCUCUCCCCACACCUGUGCUUCUGGGCUACCUACUGCAUUAACACAAACCACAGCAAAAGGAAAAUAAAACAAUUUAGCAAAAAUCUAAACAUUCAACUGGAGUCGGUUCUGUGACAUCUGCUGGGCAUUUCCUUUGUCCUUUGAAUAGGUUGGAAUGUGCACACCUGGCUCGACCAAAAGAGGCACAGCUUAGGGGCGGCUUGGACCCAGCUCAAGUCUGGACUUGGCAGCUUUCCUGAGCCUGCCUAGGAAAGCAGGCUGGAGUGCAGGUGUCCCAGGGCUCUCUGGAGGAGCAGCAGCAACACCAUGCCUGGCUCUGGUGCCUUGGUCUCCUCGGAGAGGACGCUUGAAGGAAUGGCACUCAGCAGAGUACAGGCCCCGUAACAGUGCAGCGCAGCGACAUCCGCUGAGGACUGGACAGAAUGGUCCUGAUGCUUGGCAGUGAUCCGUACUUGGAUAACCCUCUGCAUGAAAGGGCAGUGAGCCAGGAACCUCAAGCCACCCGGGAGCAGGUGCCUACUUGGCGUUUUCUGAGACGAAAGGCAGCGGAGUGUGUAGCAAAGGUGGCGCUGGCUCUUGCUGCUUCUGAAGCUCCAUCUCGGCAGCCCUCUGCAGCGCCACCUCCACCAGCAACUGGAAGCUGCUGAAGUCAUCCUUGUCCUGCUCUGGGGGUGUGGGUGGUGGCGUAUUGAAGAGUCCACCCGUGGGGCUUCCAGCCUCUGCCCUAGUCAGCAGGGGUCACUGUAAAGCUCUGGCUGUUCUGGAACUCACUAUGUAGACCAAGGUGGCCUCAAAUGCUUCUUCUCCCUGAUUCCCAGGAUUAAAGCCACCAUGCUUGGGCUGGAGAGAUGGCUCACUGAUGUAAGAGCACUGAUUGCUCUUCCAGAGGUCCUGAGUUCAAAUCCCAGCAACCACGUGGUGGCUCACAACCAUCUAUAAAAAGGAUCUGAUGCCCUCUUCUGGUGUCUGAAGACAGCUACAGUGUACUCAUAUAAAU
ensembl:processed_transcript 5430405H02Rik RIKEN cDNA 5430405H02 gene